rnacentral:lncRNA from 1 species
UUUUUUAACUCGAUACUGUGGUACUUCAAGUUAGGAACUUCUCUCGAAAAGGUGUUCUAGCAACAAGAUCAUUGUGAAAUCAAUUCUGUGGCAUGAACCUACAGCACCAAUUUAAUUAAUAGAAGCUCUUCGACAUUAGCAUCCAUUCGGGUCCCUAUUCCACCCCAUACUAGCCCAAGUCUUCCAUUGUUGAACUCUUCGUGCACAACGUUGAACCCUCAAUUCUUUUGUAAAACCUGACAAGCUUGGUAUGGUAAAGAUCGGAGUCAUUGAUGGUCAGCAACUCAGCAGUUUUACACCCACAAUCAUAUCUAUGUCUAACAGCAGCAGCUCCAAUGAACAAGCCGAUCCCAAAUAUUGAUCUUUCCAUGCCCAAAGUCUCCCUCUUCAAUCUAAUAGAGUUUAAGAGAACUCUUCCUUUUAACCAAACGCUUAUCAGCCCCUCAGCCCUCCCUAGCUCAUUCUCUGUUUCCAAGCUUUCUGCUGUGACGCUGAAAAAGGGUCGAAGAGUUUGAAGCUGGAUCUCAAGCUUCUUUA